UCGAACGCGAAAGUCCCGCAAGGGAUGAGUAGAGUGGCGAACGGGUGAGUAACGCGUGGGUGACCUACCUUCGAGUGGGGGAUAACGUCUCGAAAGGGACGCUAAUACCGCAUGAUAUCCGGCCUUUGGAGAGGCGGCGAUCAAAGCUGGGGCUCGUAAGACCUGGCGCUUGGAGAGGGGCCCGCGUCCGAUUAGCUGGUUGGUGGGGUAAUGGCCUACCAAGGCGACGAUCGGUAGCCGGCCUAAGAGGGCGGACGGCCACACUGGGACUGAGACACGGCCCAGACUCCUACGGGAGGCAGCAGUGGGGAAUUGUUCGCAAUGGGCGCAAGCCUGACGACGCAACGCCGCGUGGAGGAUGAAGGCUUUCGGGUCGUAAACUCCUGUCGUGCGGGACGAAUGCUCACGGGGUGAAGACCCCCGUGGGGUGACGGUACCGCGAAAGGAAGCCCCGGCUAACUCCGUGCCAGCAGCCGCGGUAAUACGGGGGGGGCAAGCGUUGUUCGGAAUUACUGGGCGUAAAGGGCUCGUAGGCGGCCGCUUAAGUCAGACGUGAAAUUCCUCGGCUCAACCGGGGCACUGCGUCUGAGACUGAAUGGCUUGAAUCCGGGAGAGGGAUGCGGAAUUCCAGGUGUAGCGGUGAAAUGCGUAGAUAUCUGGAGGAACACCGGUGGCGAAGGCGGCAUCCUGGACCGGUAUUGACGCUGAGGAGCGAAAGCCAGGGGAGCAAA
rnacentral:rRNA from 1 species